rnacentral:misc_RNA from 1 species
AACGGUCUAUACCUGCGGUACCUGCGGAAGGAUCAUUACCGAGUGAGGGCCCUCUGGGUCCAACCUCCCACCCGUGUUUAUCGUACCUUGUUGCUUCGGCGGGCCCGCCUCACGGCCGCCGGGGGGCACCUGCCCCCGGGCCCGCGCCCGCCGAAGACAUCAUUGAACUCUGUCUGAAGAUUGCAGUCUGAGUAGAUUAGCUAAAUCAGUUAAAACUUUCAGCAACGGAUCUCUAGAUCG